UAAUUCCAAUAAAUGUCAUUUUCCAGGCCACUUAAAAUUGAGACACAGUAUAUUAAGCAGUUUUUGUAAGGUGUUAGAAUAAAACUUCAAUAAUAUCAGAAACAGAAAUGUAGAGGAUGCAUGAGGAACUUACUGGAUUUUAUGACUUCAUCAUUAUGUUAUUUAUUACUUCUGAUAAAUAGGCUUGCUUCAUCUGAAUGCAAAGUAAUAUAUAACCUGGCAUUUUUAAAGUUUUUUUUGUUUUUGGCACGAGAGUAUCACAGGAAAUUCAAAGGAUUCUCUAAGUUACAUUGCCAAGAAACAUGUUUCAAACUUGUCCAGGCAUGGCUGUGAGUGAAGGAAUUCCUGCAUGCAAGUCAAAAUACUGGCUGACUUUUAGAUGACUGUACUGUUUUCCUGAUCUUACUGUUUAAUUCGAAUCAGAUAAGAGAAAAAUAAAGACCCUGACUAUCUCCAUCUCUAUCAUUUAGGUUUAACUGCGUAAGAAACAACUGCAAAACCAGUGGCUAAAAACAAUAAAGAAUUAUUAGGUAAUGAUGUGGGUUGGAAAUUUUCCUGGGAUCUGCUGGACCUUGCUUUGCUGCUGUUGCCUUGACUCACUUGUGCAGCGCCACUCUGCUUGGAACUUCCCUGAUAAGCUAGCAGAUGGCUUGGGCAUUCAGGAAACUGAGCCAUGAGUAUCCAAAAGCAAUGAGAAAGGACAUCUACCAAUGAGCAAUCACUGCCCAAGCCUCUUCCUGUCACAUUUAGAAAUCUCUUAUUAUAUAAGCCAAAACAAGUUACAUGGUCAAGAUUUGAGAUGGGGAGCUCAACUCCACUUCUUGCUGGGAAGAGUGGAAAAAGUCAUGUUACAGAGAGCUAAAUCCUAAUGAAUAGUAAAUAAUAAUUUAUUAAAUUGUCUUUGCCUCUUUUUUUUACCUUCUCUUUAUUAGUCACCAUCAAUUUAGAGGGUGGUAGCUUUCUUUAGUAAUUCAGUAUGCAAAAAUUGUUUGAAAUUAUAGCCCUGGCAAUGUUAUAAAUAUAUUUAAUUCAUGUUAUCCCUAUAGGAUAAUAUAUUUAAUCAUGUUAUCCCUAUAGGAUUACCAAGUCAGAACACUGCUUUCUAUUUUCAUCACAAAAAGAAUAAAAUGCAUAAUAAUUUUUAUCAUUGAAAUGUUUUUAUUGACACAUAUCAGUUUUGUGAAUGGGAAUUUUAUGUAACUCAAAACUGCAUACUAGAAAAUUUCCUACGUACAUUUUAAAAAGAUAUUGUGACUGCCUUUAAAAUUAUUUUAAUUGAUUCAAUUUAGAAGACAUUUAUUGAUUAUCUGCUCUGUUCAAGCAAUUGUUCAGGCCAUGGGGAUGAAUAUGGGAGGAACAUACCUGUGUAUGUGGAGGUUGUUUUUUGGUAGGAGAUUCAAUCAGUAACAAAUAUUGAAAGAAACAGCAUCAGGUUCUUUCUAAUUAUCAUGCUAUCACAAUUAGAAAGCUUACAAAGUGUCAUUAGCCCUUACAAUAUGUCUGAUUUUUUUAGCCCCAAACACAACCGUGUAAAGUCAAUUAAGUUAUUAGAUAAGUGAUUUAUGAUACGAACCCCUUCCAUCCACAGGAAACAUGUUGAAGUGAAUUGAAAAAAGAAACUACUGUUUAUAUGCUAAAUGUUCAAAAAUGUAUGUUUAGUAAUCCAUCUCAGUGAUUUAAUAACUGGUUUAUAUUUGGAAAUGAUUGAUCUAGUAUCUUUAUGUUAUAAUUGUACAUGAGGCAUACCUUCGUGCAUAAUUGAACAACAAUAAAGCAAAGAGUUUUAUUUCUUUUAUCUUUCUAAAAUUCAAAAUUUGGCAAUAUGUGAAUGAGAA
rnacentral:lncRNA from 10 species